GAGAAAAAUGAGGUCUAGUUGCUAAUAGCUUAACUUCGAAAAGCUAUUAUCCUCGAAACAACUUUUUUUCAGCCUUUCACAACGAAUGGCAGUACAUAAACAGCUAAUUCUGGUGGAGUUUUGUUUCUGUUUAAAGGAAGUUGUUUCUUCCCACUGUCGCCACAUGUUUGCUCAACAGCUGCAUUUUCAUUAGAAAUGUGUGCAAAACUUUGUCAAUAUUCUGCAAAAAACCUCAAUUGAGUAGCCAAAUAGAUUUCAGCUUAACUUUAAUUGUAGGAUUCUAUGAACUUUACUUUUAGCUUGAACGUUAGUAUCCUGGGAAUUAAAAUAACAACUUUUAACAUUAAUUUCAGAAUAGACCAGCUAAUUAAUACAACUAGUUAAAAAAAUAAGUCAGAAUUAAAACUAUAUUCUAUAUUGAAGUAGCAAUGUUUCAUUGAUAUCUCCUUGAAGUACUUUGGGUUUUAUUGUGUUGAUUAUUUUUAUCAGUAAUUAUGACUUAAAUUUGAUUACUGCAUGGUAUACAAGAGUGUAAUUAUUAAUACUCUAAAAAUUAUUGAGAAAUUGUUUAACUUCAGAUUUAUCCUUCAGAUAUGAUGCUUGUUUUUUGCAGGGAAAACUCAGCUGUGUCCCAUAGCAAGAACGUCUGAGUAGGAAUGGAUUUGUGUUUGCUACAAUAAACACCUGGGACUUUCCUGCAAGAAGGUUCCAACAUCUGAUUGGUUAACCUGCACAGGAAGUUAACUUCUGACCAAUCAUCUUGACCAAGAGCAGCGUUUGCGCCACCAGUCUCUGAUGGAUACCCAAGAAGAUGCGUUUGACCGAAAAGCAAAGAACUGAAAUUAUACUGAUGGCUGGAUCGGGAAGCAGUUGCAUGGUUGCACAAAACUUUAACAGAAAACAUGGAGGGAGCGUCACACACGACACUGUGGCAAAACUUAUAUGCAAGUUUCAGAAAAUUGGAAAUGUUGCAGAUCAACCAUGAAGUGGUCCAAGACCACAGAGUCCCACCAAAAUAAAAACGGUUGUCCAAUAUAAAAUGUUUAUUUUUUUUCUAUGAAUGGAAACUUAUGGCCCACCCUGUAGAAUUCUGCCAAACAUCUCACUGGUUUAGAUUUAGAUGGAGAGUUAGAGAACCUGAAUUUCCAACCACUCUGUUCGAUUUGAUGGAUAUUGCCAAAAUAUAUCUCUCCUUCAUUUAGUUUAGCUCAGUUUUGAAAGCGACUUUAUGGCGUUACAGCUGCUUUCCUUUUUUUCACAAUAAAAACAAACAUUUAACACAAAGGUAUACAGAAUUGGAUGUUCUUUGCUUUUUCAUAAGAACAUUUCAUAGGUGAAGGUUAUAGACGAGCCAGGCUUAUAUUUCUGGCUCAUCUUUUAAUUCACCACAACAAACCAGAGUAGCGCCAAGCCAACAUUAAUGCAGAUGAUGCCUACUCCAUUCUGCCGUCACAUCUGAACAAAACAAGAUACUUGAACUCUUCCAUUUGAGGUAAAGACUAACAUUCAAAAUAAGUAUUUGGCCUUGGAAUCUUCUA